rnacentral:rRNA from 1 species
AUUGAACGCUGGCGGCAGGCUUAACACAUGCAAGUCGAGCGGAGAUGAGGUGCUUGCACCUUAUCUUAGCGGCGGACGGGUGAGUAAUGCUUAGGAAUCUGCCUAUUAGUGGGGGACAACAUUCCGAAAGGAAUGCUAAUACCGCGUACGUCCUACAGGAGAAAGCAGGGGAUCUUCGGACCUUGCGCUAAUAGAUGAGCCUAAGUCGGAUUAGCUAGUUGGUGGGGUAAAGGCCUACCAAGGCGACGAUCUGUAGCGGGUCUGAGAGGAUGGUCCGCCACACUGGGACUGAGACACGGCCCAGACUCCUACGGGAGGCAGCAGUGGGGAAUAUUGGACAAUGGGGGGAACCCUGAUCCAGCCAUGCCGCGUGUGUGAAGAAGGCCUUAUGGUUGUAAAGCACUUUAAGCGAGGAGGAGGCUACUGAGACUAAUACUCUUGGAUAGUGGACGUUACUCGCAGAAUAAGCACCGGCUAACUCUGUGCCAGCCGCCGCGGUAAUAC